ensembl:lincRNA Gm14565 predicted gene 14565
CCUGUCAAGCUGACUCCACCAGAGUGUGUGGCAGAAAUGCAAAUAGUUCUUCCUGUGUAAGAAAUAACAAACAUCUUCUGAAAUACUCCCUCUGCAAAGCCUCUUUGGAAAAACAAAUGACUAUCCAGGUUCUAUUCUUAGCCAUGCCUAGUUAAAAUCAGGCAUUUUGGAGGUAACUGUAGAACUUGGGGCUAAAGAAAAAAAUGGCUCCUUUUAAAAUCAAGUUGCGGCCUUCUGGUUUCUAUCUCCACCUGUAGCAAAUCCUCUGCCACUGGGCUCCAUACCCAAAUAGCGCCUUGAGGGAGCAAGCUUCCCAGGAGUGCAGACAGGACUGUGAGUACAGGGAGAACCAUCACUGCUGCUCAGAGGAACUUGUCCAGAACCUCAGGACCCAGGAACCAAGGGGCAGCUUGGGACAGGAGCCUUACUGUCUCAGGAGAGAGCUGGUCUCCCAGGAGUGCCUACACACCUGUGAGCACAGAUAAGACCACCACUUCUCUUCAAAUUCCUGGCCCAAGAGGGACUCUCACAGAGCCAUCAAGAUACAGGAACCAAGGAUCAGCUGGGGACAGAAUCUUUCUGGUUUCUGUCUGCACCCCAGAGCUGACCCUGUACCACAGCUCUCCAUACCUAAAUUCCUCCCAGAGAGAACUGGUCUCCCAGGAGUACUGACACACAGGCUUGCAGGAGGGACAAGCCAAAGUCAGAGACAGCAAGACCAGCUAACACCAGAGAUAGCCAGAUAUUGAGAGGUAAGCACAAGAGCAUUAGCAACAGAAACCAAGACUACUUGGCAUCAUCAAAACCCAGUUCUCCCAUCACAGCCAAAGCCCUGGUUACCCCAACACACCAGAAAGGCAAGACUGAUUCAAAAUCACAUCUUAUGGUGGUGAUAGAGGAAUUUAAGAAGGACAUAAAUAACUCCCUUAAAGAAAUACAGGAGAACACAGGAAAACAGGUAGAAAACUUUAAAGAGGAAACAUAAAAAUCCCUUAAAGAAUUACACAACCAAACAGGUGAAGGAACUAAACAAAACCAUCCAGGAACUAAAAAUGGAAAUAGAAACAAUAAAGAAAUCACAAAGGGAGACAACACUGGAGUUAGAAAAACUAGGAGUAACAGAUGCAAGGAGUCACGGUAUAUACCCAGAAGAUGCUCCAACAUGUAAUAAGGACACAUGCUCCACUAUGUUCAUAGCAGCCUCAUUUAUAAUAGCCAGAAGCUGAAAAGAAUACAGAUGUCCCUCAACAGAGGAAUGGAUACAAAAAAUGUGGUACAUUUACACAAUGGAGUACUAGUCAGCUAUUAAAAACAACAGAUUUAUGAAAUUCUUGGGCAAAUGGAUGUAACUAGAAAAUAUCAUCCUGAGAGAGGUAACCCAAUUACAAAAGAACACACAUGGUAUUCACUCACUGAUAAGUGGAUAUUAGCCCGGAAACUCGAAUACCCAAGACACAAUUCACUGACCACAUGAAGCUCUAUAAGCAAGAACACCAAAGUGUGGAUACUUCAGUCCUUCUUAGAAGGGGAAACAAAAUACCCAUGGGAGGAGUUACAGAGACAAAGUGUGGAGCAGAAACUGAAGGAAAGGUCAUCCAGAGACUGUCCCACCUGGAGAUCCAUCCCAUAUACAGUCACCAAAACCAGACACUAUUGUGGAUGCCAACAAGUGCUUGCUGACAGGAGCCUGAUAUAGCUGUCUCCUGAGGGACUCCACCAGUGCCUGACAAAUACAGAGGUAGUUGCUCUUAGCCAACCAUUGAAGUGAGCACAGGGUCCCCAAUGAAGGAACUAGAGAAAGGACACAAGGAGCUGAAGGGGUUUGCAGCCCCAUAGGAGGAAGAACAAUAUGAACCAACCAGACCCCCCAGAGCUCCCAGGGAUUAAACCACCAACCAAAGAGCACAAAUGAAGGGACCCAUAACUCCAGCCACAUAUGUAGCAGAGGAUGGCCUUGUCAGUCAUCAAUGGGAGGAGAGGCCCUUGGUCCUGUGAAGGCUCUAUACCCCAGUAUAGGGGAAUGCCAGAGCCAGGAAGGGGGAUUAGGUAGGUUGGUGAGCAGGGGGAUGGAGGGAAUAGGGGAGUUUUGGAGGGGAAACCAGGAAAGGGAUAACAUUUAAAAUGUAAAUAAAAAAAUAUCUA